rnacentral:rRNA from 1 species
GACGAACGCUGGCGGCGUGCUUAACACAUGCAAGUCGAACGGUAAGGCCCUUUCGGGGGUCCACGAGUGGCGAACGGGGGAGUAACACGUGAGUAACCUGCCCACAACUUUGGGAUAACGCUAGGAAACUGGUGCUAAUACUGGAAAUGUGCUCCUGCUGCAUGGGGGGGGUUGGAAAGCUCCGGCGGUUGUGGAUGGACUCGCGGCCUAUCAGCUUGCUGGUGGGGUAGUGGCCUACCAAGGCGGCUGCGGGUAGCCGGCCUGAGGGGGUGACCGGCCACCUUGGGACUGAGAUACGGCCCCGACACCGACGGGUGGGCGAAGUGGGGAAUCUUGCCCAAUGGGCGCCAGCCUGAUGCAGCAACGCCGCGUGCGGGAUGACGGCCUUAGGGUUGUAAAACGCUUUCAGCAGGGACGAAGCAUUUUGUGACGGUACCUGCAGAAGAAGCACCGGCUAACUACGUG